GAGAGUAUAGCUCAGUGGUAGAGCACAUGCUUAGCAUGCACAAGGUCCUGGGUUCAGACCACAGUACCCCCU
rnacentral:tRNA from 1 species